ACUCAUAUGAAGCUUUAGGCUGUUAGCUCUCUGCAUUUUUACAUAGUUCUGAUCAAGAAUUGUAAACUUUCAUGGUGCAAAAGUUCCCUCACCAUUAUAUUUAAAAAGAUAACAGAAAAAGGGAAAGCAAAGGCCAGGUCCCCAAGUGCUUGAGCAACUGACCAUACUUUAUCAGCAGUAUUAGAAGCAGGGACUCCUUCGAUGUCCCCUCUUAUUUCUCUGUUUUCUGUAAGUUGAGGUUUGGGGUCAGAAAAUAGAGCAAGGCUUGCUCGGGUUUCAGUUACUUACCUAUUACUUUGGCCAGACCAAGUGCUGAUCCGAUAGUAGCAUACGCAAAUGACAUGGUUGCCGCAAUUACAGAGAGCCACUUGAUAUUACGGAAAUCGGGUAUCUGUGAAACUAUUACUUGAAUCAUCCCAAAUAUAAGUAUAUAAUAAGUGGUUCCAUAGUCACAAGCAGCUUCAUGCCCUUCCUUAUGGUAACAAUUUGACAUUUGAAUUGCUCUGCUCGCCCAACAAGGAGAAACAAGACUUGGGAACAAUUCAAUACAAAGAAGCAUAAAAAACUACUCAACUGAAGUUUCACUUCGUAAGUCUAGUUAAUAACAUAUACUGAUACACAGAAACACCGAGAUCAAGAUGCAAGUGCAUAGCUCAAACCAAUACAGCAAAUGUGAAUUCUACUCUCGGUUAGAGGGGCGAGGGAGAUGGAAGAAGUGCAUCGACAACAUACCUCAUGCUGAUGGAGGAUGUUAUUGUGUAGACAACUCCUACUUUGAUGAAAUUAAUCUGUACAAUAACUCCACACACCAACGCGCUCCUCUUCCCUGAGAUGCCAUAUGUCUAUUGUAAAAUUCACUGUCAUCAUGCAUUUCAUGAAGAAGAUGGGAGAUACCUAGGAUCCUCCCAACAGCUUCCAAGUAGGAGGCAUUUGUGUGGAGGCCAUCAAGAGAUUUGUAGCAAUGGCAGAGAAGGAAGGCAGAAGUAAGGGUGACUGAAGCAAAGGCCAACAUGGUGAGUGGGCCAGCAAUCCAUCCAAGCUGGGACAUGCUCCAUGACAGCGCCAGCACACCGGAGCCGAUCACUGCCGUUAUUAUAUGCGAAAGUGCAGUCCAAAUCGUCCCUGAUCACAAACACCUUCAUAAUUCUAUCCAUCUUGCAUUAAACGAGCACCAUAAUCAUACUCAUAAACCAGAAUUAAAAGAACAAAUUAGGUCAAAUUACAAGCUAAGAAGAGUGCUAAUUGCUUUCCGUCCAGUACUCUGCCUAGAUUAAUCUAAUCCAAAUAUAUCUUUUACAAUUAUCGACUAUAGUUUCUUCAGCCGUUUAUAUAGAACCGAUCUUUAAACAGUAUCAAAUUGCAACUGAUAAUAAGAAAAACAUUAAUUAGAGAGGAAGCAAAAGGAAAGAAAGAUGAGAAUCGGGAACUUGCCUGUCUUGUGGUCAUGGUUCAUAACUGCAUAUGAUGAAGAUGAAGUUGGAGAAGAAGAAGAAGAGUGGGAUAACAAAUUGGAGUUCUGACCAUCUUCAUCAAAUUCAAAUGUCAUGACAGAGUGCAAAAGUAAGAAUUCAGUUAGGCCGAGGUUCAAGACUUGAAGUGAGAAAAUAUUUUGAGUACGCCACACGCAAUUUUUAUUGUUGUUUUUUGUUUGAAGUGAUAUUUUUAAUACAUACGCAUUGGAUCAAAUAAAAACUCAGCAUACAAACUACAAAUUGCUUGUACUAACUUAUAAAAUAAUUACACUUCACUUAUAGGCUAUAAAGUAUCUGCACUUUAACGGUCUUGGAUUCAAAUCCUAAAAAAAGCACAAUUACAGUGCAAUUUAUUACCAUAAAAAUACAGAUAUUUUAUACGUUAAGUGCAACUUUAAAGGCUAAGUGCAAGAUUUUUAAUUUUUACAUUAAAUGAGUUUAUACAGGAACUCAACCCAUACAUAUAAAUAUUAAAUAAAAUUAAGUAAAAAUAAUUAUUAAUAAAUUUAAUAGAUAUAAUAUCAUAUACUCCUAUUUUUUAAUACUUUCUUAUAUAAUCCCUCCAUCUCAACAUAGAAGGCCUGCUUUUUGUUUUUUUUUAAGUACAAGUAUUUAGGAUAGAAUGUCCGCCUAUUUAAUGUAAUAUUUAAUAAAUAUUAAAUUCUUGUUAGUGGAAUCAAAUAAAGUUGUUGAGCCCAACUGUGGGGAAAAUGAAGGCUAUCUUCGGUUGCGUGCCAUCCGGCGGCGGGAGAAAUGAGCUGUCGGGCGACGGGAGAAACGCAGGCUAUCUCCGGCUGCGACCACAGGUGCUAAAAUUCCAACAUUUUUGGAUGCGACCACAAAAGGUAUCUCCAAAAUUUUCUUCUUUCACCACAGAUGCUGAAAUUCAAAAGAUGAUGUAGCAUAAAUUAGUCAUUCAAUGUCAGAACCAUUCAAACAAGUAAAUUCCUUCCUUGACCACGGAAAAUCGCGCCACACAACGCCUCUGAAGAUCGCCGCCACCCUCACCUAGUCUUUCAUUCCCGAAUCUAGCAACGGUAGUGGGGAAAGAGUCGUGCUUUCGCAUCCGCGCCCGCCAAAGCUCGAGAGAGUGGACGGUGGAGCAGAAUGGGGAUUUGCAUGUGGAGGAGGGCCUUGAGCGACAGACAGUGGACAAGCUGCUGCAGGCUGCGGAUCUUGCAUUCAAAUCAUACUUUUAAUACAUGCAUCAUGAUAUUUUCGAAUGGCUCGAAAAGAAUCAAGACAAAAAAUUAAAAAUAAAAUAAAAUAUUGGUUUGAUUCGAUCAGACUAAGACUAGGCAAAUCAGAGAUCGAAGAAGGAUAAAAUAUGGUGCGCUGCUUACGAGUUUCAAACCUACGACUUUAAAAAUACAAGGUGUGCUGAGAUGCUCAGCUGAUGACUACUAACAAUCAUUAUAUAUAUCUUUUUUGCACCAUCAUAUUAUAUGAUAGUACAACAAAGUUGGAAUUUCGAGCAUGAAAUGGNCCCGUUUUGUGUCUGAGCCAUCGCCUUUGAAAUCCACUGUUCGAAAGCGGUUGCUGAAUUCCGCCGCACUCAUGCAGACACUUGGAAUGUACAUAAAGAUUCAUUUACUGAAGAGCAACUAGAGGUAUUACGAAUCUCCCUCUCAUGAUUCUUGCAUGGAAAAUGUUUCCUAGUUGACAAGUUUAUUAUGGAUUCUUGCAGGUCCUCGCUGAUACAUCUUCUUCUUCUUCAUACUUUGCUUGAUGUAUACCUUCCCAAUGCCAAUACCAAAAAUAAAAUGACCCUUGACGUUAUUUGUAUUCACAAAUCCAUAAUUUCCGUAGAGGUUAUUUGUAUUACAUGUGUAAUGUACUAUUCUCUACAUAUAUCAAUUUACGUUCUUUUGUAAUCUACUAGGACUGGCUUUCAUACUUUUAUUUGGAAAAUAAAGUUUUGCUUGUGGAUAUCAUGUGAAAAUGCCCCUCUGCCUAUUUCGAAGCUUUGUUUAUUUGAGAAAGCAAAUCAUGGCAAGCUCUGGUUCAUAUCGGCACAUAGGUAAAAUGAAAGACAAUGCAACAUUUACAUAUAUUCAGUUGUGAAUUGGUUCAAUCUCAAGCAGAAAGCUUUGCAGCUAUGAGCCCUUGCACUGAUCCAAGAAAUGCGAAGACCAUGGCAAUGAAGAUAAGAGAGCAGUAGAGUCGAAGAAGGAGCGACUUGGUUGUCCAAGGCCCAAUGUUUUUCUGCACCAGAUACAUCUCAACUGGGAAAUAUACAACCACAGGCCAAAACACGAUCGAUCCAGAUAGCCCCACAACUUGGUUAAAGUAUGGAAACACAUAUGCAAUACUUGUGGUGAGACCCACGUAAACAAUCCUGAAACACAGCUUCGCAAGAAUCAGCCCCAGAGACGGUGUUUCUUUUACUUCACCACGGGGGAGUUUACUCACAAACCAUCCCUCAACGCUUGCGAAUAGAGGCUGAGUGAACAUCUGCAUGUGAAAGGAGAUUUGCUAUCAGAAAAGCAGUCAUAGAAGACGAGAUAAGACUGAGUAUGCAACAGGAGGAGUACCUGAUACCCUCCUAUAAGAUGAAUAACAACACAUGCAUUAGCAAAAUCAAUGAGCCAAUAUGGUUCAUAAAAUCCGAACCCAGUCAAGAGGUUUCCGGGAGUUGAAUUCCCAAAAGCUGCAUAGCCGAGUCCUCCACAGGACAUGUAGAAGAAAGUUGUGAUGCAGACUGCGAUUAUAGAUGCCUUCUUCAUUAUGACUUUUUCUGGUGGACUUGACUUCAGGGUAUCCUGCACAUACAGUCUCACUCAUAUGAAGCUUUAGGCUGUUAGCUCUCUGCAUUUUUACAUAGUUCUGAUCAAGAAUUGUAAACUUUCAUGGUGCAAAAGUUCCCUCACCAUUAUAUUUAAAAAGAUAACAGAAAAAGGGAAAGCAAAGGCCAGGUCCCCAAGUGCUUGAGCAACUGACCAUACUUUAUCAGCAGUAUUAGAAGCAGGGACUCCUUCGAUGUCCCCUCUUAUUUCUCUGUUUUCUGUAAGUUGAGGUUUGGGGUCAGAAAAUAGAGCAAGGCUUGCUCGGGUUUCAGUUAC
rnacentral:lncRNA from 1 species